rnacentral:lncRNA from 1 species
UAGAGCCAAAUGGCGCAAGGUUGGCAUAUCAUCAUCUGAUGAAAGUGCAGCACUGCCGCUGUUUCCACACUAAGAAUACUCAUAACCUAUCCCAACCUGAGUGGAUAUAUAAAUUCAGAGGGAAAAAUCACAAACUAUACUAUACCGAUACAGCUAGAUAUCAAGAUUCUCAGGACACGAUGUCUAAACUAAAUUACCCAACAGACAGUUUGAAUCAUGAAUAGAAUAUAGUUAACAUAACCCCCCAUGCAAACGGUCAUCAUGUAUCAGCUAGUAAGAAAGGAGGGAACAAAUCUUGAUUAACAGAACAAUGGAGCACCAUCUUUAGAGAUUGUACAAACUGUAAAACAAAACAAAAAAAGAAAUCGGUCAGAGUAAAAAAACAUGACUGGAUAUAUAUACAGCUGGAUAUCAAGAUUCUCUGGAGAAAUGCUUAAACUAAAAUACUAAUAAAAAACGAAUCAUGGGCCAUUCAAAAACAACUUCAUAUAGAUAUAUACCCAACAAAGAGUUUGAAUCAUGAAUAUGCAACACACAUCGCUGACAUGACCCACCAUGCAAACGAUCAUCAUAAAUAUCUUUGGAACCCACAACUCAACAUAAAGAUGACAAAGACAAACAUGUAUACCAAAUAGCAUCUGAAAACAUAUCAGGGAAGAUAAUUUUCUGGCAGAACCAAGCAUGCGUAUGCAACUAUCUAAAUAUAUGUGUUAAACAGCCACUGGAAACAUUGCUAUAGAACAGACCGGAUAAAGCAAUUUCCACACAGAACAAUGCAUGCAUGUUUGCACAACCAAUCAAACACAUGUAUAGAAUAGAUACUGACAAACAAUUAGUCUAGAAAGACUAACUAUGCCGGAGCAAGUUGAUCAUGAAACUCCGUACCAAGACAUCUCCAGAUUUUUCCGGAAAUGAGAGUUCAGUAAGCUACUACCUUCAGCCUCCUAACUGAUUUGAGAGCAGCAUUUAUUAGAUUUUAGAAACCUAAAAGAAACAUUAGGCACAUUUGAAUAAACAUUCAAGAGAAGGGAACUGCAAAACGAAAUUCAGUAAACAGAAACGCCGCUAUAGCUCAUGACUAAAUUGACUCUCUUUCAGAAAAAAGUAGGAAAGUGUAACCACCUUAGUAAAAAAAAAUAGAAUGAGCAUGCUACCAUGCCCUUGCGCAGGUUCAAGCUACAUUCAAAGAAGGGACGUCUAUUGAACAAAAACUGGGUCGACAGUAUUUUGCAAUAGCUAACUAUGCAACUUUUCUCCACAAAUAUGAGAUAAUUUAAAUGGCAAGAUCAUGUUUGUUUUCCCCUUAUUUUCAGUUGGAUUGUAAUAACUCAGCAGCAAAGAGUACACCGCCGUGGUUUAGUCUACCAAUCUGAUUCAAUUCAAGAAUGGGUAGCCUAUUCUCUUGUAUAUGUCAGCAAGCUCUUUUUUGUACUCAAGUCAAAACUAAGCAUAAAUACCUACUCACCUACAUAAGUUGCUGUUGCACAUGCCCAUGUAUUUGGUGCAAGUUGAGGCCUCCUUUAAGUAACAUUAUGACCACUCUUCAUACCUACAAACACCAUCAAAGUAUGAAGUCAAAGCGAGGUGGAACCGUGUAAGGACUAAAGAAAGGGAAAGUGUCCGAUUCAUAAGCAAAGAGAGCAAGAGACCGAACUUUCAGAACAUUUAGGUUUAUUAGUAAGGACAUAGUGGUAACAUUUUCUUAGUAAUUAAGCUCGAUGGAAAUAAAGGUACUUUUCAUGUAUGACGCCCAAAAAAAGUUUAAACAUCUUUUCCUUUUGCUGUACCAUGACCAUACCACAAUGUGAGCUGCAGACAGGGAAAAGUUCAGAUCCAAAAUCAUAUCUAAUAGAUAUGUUUGUACAUUAAGGAAAAGAAAAACAUUACUCGUAGCAUUCUGCAAAAACACAUUAAGAAAUGGAGCUUUUGGACCAGUGAAUUACACUAGUAUUCUCAAAAUACCACAUCUACAAUCUCACUGGUGAGAACCAGUGCAGGAUUAAGAAAUUAUCUAAGUCUAUAAGCUUUUCAUGAAUGAUGCCAGACUUAUUUUUUUAUUGCAAGAAUCAAUGCUAGCAGGCUGUUUUGUAGAGUUACUCAGCGGAAGAUGCCGCAACCAAUAGAAAUUGGCAGUAGAUUUCAUCUAUGCCUGCUGCUCCAUCCUGCAGUAAUUAUUUAGAACAACAAAUAAGAUGAUUGUCAGAUUAGAGAAGGCACACUUCUUGCAUAAAAAAGAGAAGGCCACACUAAAGAAGCACGUUCCUAGUAUGUAUCUAUAAACAUAGAGAUGCUACUGAUAAAUAUAACUGAACUAUUUCCCACAGCAAAAGGAAAACAUGCAUGUGGCUAGAAAGAAUAAGCAUGUAGCUAGAAAGAAAGGAAGCAAACAUCAAGCAGCAGAACAUAGUUACAGCAAAGCAGGAGAUCAAGAUGCAGCAACAAAGGAGAUCCUAGAACCAGCUAAAUAAACGGAGAUGAAGUAGUCAAAGCACACGCAUGACGUGGAUCGGUGCACAGAGGUAAAAGAAUAGUCAUCCACAUACAAGCAAAAGAACAGUCCAUUUACCCGACCUGGAAAGGAGAAGUAGGCUAGAAAAGGAGGAAAGACGGACGAUAAGGCAAGGAUGAACAACAAGCAAAAUGAACUGAACGCAAAACAAGGUUAACAAAUAUGCAUUUCAUCAAACAUCUUGCAGAAAAGAAAAUGGAGCGUGGUGUCACCUCAAUUAAUCGCCGAAGGCAGAACGGCGCGACAGUGGACGCAGGAGAGGAUGGCAAGAUAAUCAAC